AUUGAACGCUGGCGGCAGGCCCAACACAUGCAAGUCGAACGAGUGGCGGACGGGUGAGUAAUGUCUGGGAAACUUCCCGAUGGAGGGGGAUAACUACUGGAAACGGUAGCUAAUACCGCAUACCAUCGGAUGUGCCCCGAUGGGAGUAGCUAGUAGGUGGGGUAACGGCUCACCUAGGCGACGAUCCCUAGAUGGUCUGAGAGGAUGACCGGCCACACUGGAACUGAGACACGGUCCAGACUCCUGCGGGAGGCAGCAGUGGGGAAUAUUGCACAAUGGGCGCAAGCCUGAUGCAGCCAUGCCGCUUGGAUGAAGAAGGCUUUCGGGUUGUAAAGUACUUUCAGCGAGGAGGCGUUACUCGCAGAAGAAGCACCGGCUAACUCCGUGCCAGCAGCCGCGGUAAUUC
rnacentral:rRNA from 1 species